GACGAACGCGGCGGCGUGCCUAAUACAUGCAAGUCGAACGAGAGCGACCGGUGCUUGCACUGGUCAAUCUAGUGGCGAACGGGUGAGUAACACGUGGGUAACCUGCCCAUCAGAGGGGGAUAACAUUCGGAAACGGAUGCUAAAACCGCAUAGGUCUUCGAGCCGCAUGGCUUGAAGAGGAAAGGAGGCGCAAGCUUCUGCUGAUGGAUGGACCCGCGGUGCAUUAGCUAGUUGGUGAGGUAACGGCUCACCAAGGCCGUGAUGCAUAGCCGACCUGAGAGGGUGAUCGGCCACAUUGGGACUGAGACACGGCCCAAACUCCUACGGGAGGCAGCAGUAGGGAAUCUUCCGCAAUGGACGCAAGUCUGACGGAGCAACGCCGCGUGAGUGAAGAAGGUUUUCGGAUCGUAAAACUCUGUUGUUAGAGAAGAACAAGUGCUAGAGUAAACUGUAAACGCCCUUGACCGG
rnacentral:rRNA from 1 species